UUCCUGAUCCCGUGAUUAAGGAUGACGAAGUUUUAAUGAAGAUACGGGCUAACGAUUUAUGCCAAAAUGAUGUGCGAGAUUAUACAGGCGAUACAAAAUGGACCUAUCCGCGAGUGGGCGGACAUGAAUUCAGUGGUGAAAUUGUAGCAGUUGGCAAAGAUGUUAAUCCAAAACAUUUUCAAGUAGGCGAUCAUGUUGUGAAAUACAUCUUGCCUAACUGUGGUGAAUGUUAUUAUUGCCAAACUGGUCGGCCGAACUUAUGUACUGAAAUUUAUUCGUCCCCAACAUUCCACAAUGAUCACGGUAUUUCUGGCUUUUGGGGGAUGUCGCAGUUGAUGGCCGUUAAAUCGACCGACCUGUUUAAAUAUCCUAAGACAACCCCUUUCCUUGAUAUGGCUUUCACGGAACCACUGGGAUGCGUCAUUAACAGUGUUGAUCGAGCGCAUGUGCAGCUUGGACAAGAUACUUUGGUUAUUGGCGGCGGCGUCAUGGGAUUGCUACAUGUGAUGGUGCUAAAGUUGAAAGGGGCGCGGGUAUUGGUGAGCGAGCCCGAUGAAACCCGGCGACAACUAGCGCUAAAACUUGGGGCAGAUUUUGUUCUUGACCCAAUGCAAAAAGAUCCGAUUAAGAUCGUCAAAGAUGCGACAGAAGGCCGGGGUGCUGAUGCUGUUUUCAACACCACCGCAGUGCCGGCGAUCGCGAAACAAGCCAUAGCAUUUACAGCGAAUGGCGGACAGACCUUUAUGUUUAGUUCAAUGCAUCCAGAUGAUCCGGUUCCGAUUGAUCUUGGUGCCGUGCAUUCCCACGAAAAGUUCAUCAAAGGUACGGUCAGUCCUACUAGAGAAACGUAUUUUCGGGCGACACAGCUCAUUGGCAAAAAGAUACUCAACAUGCGGCCGUUAUUGGAUAAGACCUUUUCUUACACAGAUGCCGAGAGUGCUUUUAAAUAUGCUAUGCUUCCGGAUACUUUGAAAACAAUGGUGACAUUUGAUUAACAGCCACUUGGGAAGGUGAAAUCGUUGGACAAGCAAUAUAUCGGCAUUGAUUUAGGAACAUCUUCCAUCAAAAUGGGUUUAUUUAAUCCUGAUAUCUCCUCUCAAGCUUUCUAUCAGCAAGCUUAUCAAUAUGAGACAUUAGCAAAUGGCGCCAAAGAGAUUGAUCCGAAUGUUUGGUUUGAAAUCGUUGUGAAAGGAUUACAACAAUUAGUCAAGCGUGCUGGUUCUGCUGACAGUAUUGUCGGCAUCGGUAUUACCGGUCAAAUGCAUACGACGGUUUUCCUUGAUCAGAGAGGCCAAAUGGUCCGCCCUGCCAUUCUAUGGAAUGACACACGGACUAAAUUAUUCAUAACCGAAUUGAAGUCGCGGUUAACGGUCAUUGAAGAAUCAGAAAAUGCAAAGAUUGUUUCUACUGGCAGUCCACUAGCAAAUCUUGUCUGGUUGAAACGCGAGGAGCCAAGCCACUUUAAGUUAUUACGGCAUUUUCUCAUGCCAGUGGAUUACAUUGUUUACCGGCUGACAGGUCACUACUCGACUGAUUACUGCGAUGCCUCGACAUCUUCUUUAUUUGAU
rnacentral:rRNA from 1 species